GACGAACGCUGGCGGCGUGCUUAACACAUGCAAGUCGAACGGAAAGGCCCUGCUUUUGUGGGGUGCUCGAGUGGCGAACGGGUGAGUAACACGUGAGUAACCUGCCCUUGACUUUGGGAUAACUUCAGGAAACUGGGGCUAAUACCGGAUAGGAGCUCCUGCUGCAUGGUGGGGGUUGGAAAGUUUCGGCGGUUGGGGAUGGACUCGCGGCUUAUCAGCUUGUUGGUGGGGUAGUGGCUUACCAAGGCUUUGACGGGUAGCCGGCCUGAGAGGGUGACCGGCCACAUUGGGACUGAGAUACGGCCCAGACUCCUACGGGAGGCAGCAGUGGGGAAUAUUGCACAAUGGGCGGAAGCCGGAUGCAGCAACGCCGCGUGCGGGAUGACGGCCUUCGGGUUGGAAACCGCUUUCGCCUGUGACGAAGCGUGAGUGACGGUAAUGGGUAAAGAAGCACCGGCUAACUACGU
rnacentral:rRNA from 1 species